rnacentral:lncRNA from 1 species
AUGGAGUGUCAGAGGCGCGGCAAGCGCCGCGACGGCUUAGUGGGAGAUCGAUCGAGGUUUCACAAUGGUCUCCUCCCAUGGCGUCAUCAAUCCCUCUUCCUCUUCGCCAUUGUCCUCGUCGCGGCGUCUCAAGUUCAACUCGCCGUCAACACUGACCCUUUCAUGUCCGGCGCAUGCAAGACCGUUGCUAGCAGCAACGGUGGCGUCAUCAGCGUCACGUUCUGCAUGGACGCGCUCGGUUCCGACAGCCGGAGCCUCAACGCCAACCACUACAGUGACCUCGCCAUCGUCGCCAUCGACCUCCUGACAUCCAACGCGACGAGCGCCAAUGCCAAGAUAGACAGCAUCCUCAAGGAUGAUGGAGGCGGCUUGAAACCCGACGAUGCCACAACAGUGUGCCUCCAGAUGUGCCAGGCGGCAUACGCAGGCGUGUGUAGGAUCAAGGAGGCCGACUAGAGAGGGGUGA